rnacentral:rRNA from 1 species
UGCGCGAGUCAUUGGGAUCAAACGAAACCUAAAGGCGAAAUGAAAGUGAAGGCGCGCCUCGCGCGCGCCUAGGGCGGAUGGGCGGCGUCACGUCGCCGCCCCGCACGCCCGGGGCGUCCCAACGUCUCAUCGCGAGACGGGGCGCACCUAGAGCGUACACGCUGGGACCCGAAAGAUGGUGAACUAUGCCUGGUCAGGACGAAGUCAGGGGAAACCCUGAUGGAGGUCCGUAGCGAUUCUGACGUGCAAAUCGAUCGUCGGAACUGGGUAUAGGGGCGAAAGACCGAUCGAACCUUCUAGUAGCUGGUUCCCUCCGAAGUUUCCCUCAGGAUAGCUGGCGCUCGUUGUUACGAGUCUCAUCUGGUAAAGCGAAUGAUUAGAGGCAUUGGGGUCGAAACGGCCUCAACCUAUUCUCAAACUUUAAAUGGGUGAGAUCUCCGGCUUGCUUGAACUAUGAAGCCGCGAGACCUCGGAUCAGAGUGCCAAGUGGGCCACUUUUGGUAAGCAGAACUGGCGCUGUGGGAUGAACCAAACGCCGAGUUAAAGCGCCUAAAUCGACGCUUAUGGGAUACCAUGAAAGGCGUUG